UCCUGAACCGCCACGAAGGAGGUCCCAGAGGCUGAGAUUGUUUCAAAGCCACGGGUCUCACCUGCCAAGCAGAGUGAUUCCCUCUUGUCAGAAAAAUAUGUUGUCGCUCAAAAGUAAGAAAGCCUCCACCGCGAUUGAAUCUGGAAGGGACAAUUUAAAAAAGUUACUGUGCUGUGGCGUCUGUAUGUAGUAGUUGUAUUGUGCAGUUUACUGUGUAUAGAGACACACAAAUAUACAGAAUUUCCAGCAUCUGCAGGUUUUCUCGAUACUGUGUAUAGAGGCAUUCACAAUUGAACAAAGAAAUACAUCUGAGUCAAUGGAAAACUACACACAGGGAUCCUCACCACUCAGGUUAGGCUGUCUUCAUGCUGCUGCCAUCAGGAAGAAGGUAUUAAUCAACUGUGAUUAACAUGGGACUGUGGCCAGUCACUGUGAAAUACCCGGUCUCCUGGAGACGAACGUUCAGCUGUUUUAGUGUACACCCUGCAUCAAAGUCAGGCAUUUACAGGAAAGGAAAGAAAUACAAUAAAAUUGAUGCAAAACAAAACAUUAGCUUGGAACAUGGAACAUGACAGCAGAGUACACGCCUUUCAGCCCACGGAGUUUCGUCAACCUUCUAACCUACUCAAAGAUCAAUCUAAUAAUCUAUACUUUAUUAGGAGUGAAGAGAUAGGGUACGUCAACAAAAACACUCAAAAAUUCUGUAGAUGUACCCUGGAGAGCAUUCUGACAAGCUACAUCUCUGUCUGGUAUGGGGGGAGGGGCGGUGGGUACUUCACAAGACCGAAAGAAGCUGCAGAGAGUCGUAAAUUUAGUCAGCUCCAUCAAAGCACCCAGGGCAUCUUCAAAGAGUGGUGUCUCAGAAAGACAGCAUCAAUUAUUAAGGACCUCCAGCACCCAGGGCAUGUCCUUUUCUCACUGUUGCCAUCAAGUAAGAGGUACGGAAGCCUGAAGGCACACACUCAGCAAUUCAGGAACAGCUUCUUCCCCUCUGCCAUCUGAUUCCUAAAUGGACAUUGAACCCAUGAACACUACCUCACUUUUUUUAUAUAUAUUAUUUCUGUUUUUGCACAAUUUUUAAUCUAUUCGAUAUACAUAUACUGUAGAUGACUGAUUUAUCUCCUUCUAUAUUUUGUAUGGCGUUAAACUGCUGCUGCUAAGUUAACAAAUUUCACGACGCAUGCUGAUGAUAAUAAACCUGAUUCUGAUUCUAACGACAAACAACAAAAGACAAACUGUGCAAACAAAAAAUAAAUAAUAGAACAUGCAGAGUCCAUGAAAGUGAUUUGUAGGUUGUGAAACUAGUUCAGAGUUGUGGUGAAUGGCCACACUGGCCAGGAGUUUCAGCCUAAUACUUCCAUGGAAGUGAAUUGGAAAAUAAGUCUCUCUUCCUCCACUAACAAAACUUAAUUGCAUGAUGUGAAAUUUUCUCAAAAAAACUUUUAAAAAUUGCAAUCAAAAAAUCUGAAAUUUUCUGGACAAAACUGUCAAUUCUCAGCAGUCACCGGUUGUGCUUCUGAUAAAUAUGAGAAAAUCUGUAACUGCUGGA